rnacentral:lncRNA from 1 species
GUGUUUUGAAUGUUCAACAAACCACCUCAAAAUAAGGUCAUUGAAGUGCCACAGCAUUAUUCCGAUAAUAGAUUACAAAAAGGUGCCACUCUUUAUCCGGGACAUCAACACUAACUGCAAAGAUCACGAAGGGAAACUAGAAUUCUAUUGUUCCGCUCACGAUGCUACGUGUUGUCAUCUUUGUAUGAAGGAAGAUCACCACGUAUGCUCCGGUAUACAGCCGCUUCAGGCUUAUGUAAAAAACAUAAAAGAGUCUUUCGUGUAUAGCAAUCUACAAAAAAAGAUUCAUGAAUUAUCGGACGACUUUCUCACAAUUUCUAAUGACAGAAAAGAAAAUUUGACUCAGCUGCAACGUCAAAAAGAAGAAAUAGAGCAAGAAUUCUGCAACAUCCGCAAAACGAUCAACAAUCGUUUAGACAAGCUUGAGAAAACCGCUAUCGAUGAAUUAACUGACGAAUAUAAUACGGAAAGACUGAAAAUUGAAACUGUUUUAUAAGAAUGCA